rnacentral:rRNA from 1 species
UGGGGAAUCUUCCGCAAUGGGCGCAAGCCUGACGGAGCAACGCCGCGUGAGUGAAGAAGGCUUUCGGGUUGUAAAACUCUGUCUUCAGGGAAGAAAAAAAUGACGGUACCUGAGGAGGAAGCCCCGGCUAACUACGUGCCAGCAGCCGCGGUAAAACGUAGGGGGCGAGCGUUGUCCGGAAUUACUGGGCGUAAAGGGCGCGUAGGCGGUUUCUUAAGUCAGAGGUGAAAACUACCGGCUUAACCGGUAGCCUGCCUUUGAAACUGGGGAACUUGAGGGCAGGAGAGGGGAGUGGAAUUCCCAGUGUAGCGGUGAAAUGCGUAGAUAUUGGGAGGAACACCAGUGGCGAAGGCGGCUCUCUGGCCUGUUUCUGACGCUGAGGCGCGAAAGCGUGGGGAGCAAACGG